CAGCGAAGAUUCACAGUAUUCGUCGUCUGCCACCGUCAACGUAUUAGGGUUCUAGCUCGUCGAUUUCAAGUUUUCAUAAUCGUCGCGAAAAACAACCCUUUUAGUUAUUGCAAUCUGUUUUCGCGAUAACUGUUUGUCACGAGUUGCAUGAUAAUGAUGUUUAAUUAUAUUGUCAUCAAAAAAUAACGGUGUCAUUCAAUUUUUCUGUUCAGAAAGGUAAACAAUUGUCGUAAACAAUACAUGUGCGAUACUUGUUUCUUAAAUAAUAAUUCCUAAUUAUUUUUUUAAUGUGUUAGGGUGCAAAGUAUAAUAUACAAUAAAUUGUAAACGAUAUAAAUCCGCGGGUUUGUUAUAAACAAUUGGCUGAACAUUACUGUUGCUUGUUCAGGAGUGUACAGUGUUUAUACUUGCAAAUUAAAUUUAUAUUUUAUCAUAUAAUACACAAAACUUUUAAUAUAGAGAAGAGCAUAAGGAUUCAGAUUCACGUGUCAAGCCAGUUAUAAAAAUUAUUCAACACUUGUACUGCUAAGCUAAAGAAGGAAAGAUCUGGAAAGCAGAAGAGUCGUUAGCCUGAGUUGGCCGAGUAACCGAGAAAAAUAAGUAUAAGAAAGCAAAAACGUAGAAAGGAAAGGCUGAAAAUAAAGAGGAAGAGGAAAAGAAGGUAUCACGACGGUGGUGGUGUUGCUCGUAGUGUCUCGUUAUCAGGUGAAGGGUGUCGUGAGGGUUCCAGGCGAAGUAGUUGACAGGUGUGAUGUGGUGGAGUCCCCCGGAGGAUCGCGGGGGCAGGAGGCAUAUCGAAGCAGGUUGGUCGUGAGAGCCCCAGGUUCAACUCGUUUGCCCCGCGGCUGCGAGGCCGGUGGGGCGUCAGAGGAGGAAGAAGAAGGAUGGUGUGACCUCCGGCGUUAUUCCGCUCGACGCGGAGAUAGUGGCGGAGGAGGAGUCGAGCAGCUGCUGCUCGAUUCGGAGGAGGAGGAGCUGGCGAUGUCUAGGCAGCCUCGCGGAGAACGGGAUCACCUGAACCGCGAAUCUCGCGAUCAUCGUGACCUCCGCGAUGUUCGCGACCUUGGAGAUGCGAGGGUGUCACAUGUGGUUAACAGGCAUCGUCAGAGGCACUAUGAGUACGACCCUCAUCCUGCAACAGGACCCUCCGCCUCUUCAGGACCUGUCAACAACCAGGGCUCGGCGGAUUCAAAUUACUCACAGCCGAGUUCCGAUCUUUCAGUGGAUGAAGAAAGAGAAACCUUACGUCGAGAAAAAGAAAAACAGGCCCUCAAUCAACUCGAAAAAGCCAGGACGAAAGCAGUGGCCUUUGCAGUAAGAACGAACGUCAGUUACGAUGGAUCUGUUGACGAUGAUUCUCCAGUCCAUGGAUCAGCUGUCAGCUUCGAUGUUCGGGACUUUCUCCACAUUAAAGAGAAAUAUGAUAACAAUUGGUGGAUCGGAAGGCUAGUUAAAGAGGGUUGCGACGUGGGAUUCAUUCCUUCGCCAGUCAAGUUGGAGGCUUUGAGAGUACAAGCGAGCGCUGCACGCGGUACCAAGGGCCUCUAUUCCACACGUGGAGGGUCUUCGGGGAACCUUGGUGAGAGCGGUAUGCCCUCACGAGGUUCCACACCGCCCACACCAGGUGACGACAGUGAUAGCGUAGGAAAUAUUCGACCGAGUAAAGCAACACUAACAACUCCACCAGCUAAGGAAAAAAGGAAGAACUUUUUUAAGAAGCCGGAAACGGCAACACCAUAUGACGUGGUGCCUUCAAUGAGACCAGUCGUUUUGGUAGGACCAUCACUCAAAGGAUACGAAGUGACUGACAUGAUGCAAAAAGCACUUUUUGAUUUCUUGAAACAUAAGUUUGCGGGAAGAAUCAUUAUAACUAGGGUAAUGGCUGAUAUUUCCUUGGCUAAGAGAUCUUUACUAAAUAAUCCAACAAAAAGAGCAAUUAUGGAACGAUCAUCAAGUAGGAGUAGUUGUUUAGCAGAGGUUCAAGCCGAAAUUGAACGAAUAUUUGAACUCGCUAGAACGCUUCAGCUCGUUGUUCUCGACUGCGAUACCAUCAAUCAUCCGUCACAGUUAGCAAAAACGAGUUUGGCACCUACGAUUGUCUAUUUAAAAAUAUCGUCUCCUAAAGUUCUUCAAAGACUAAUUAAGUCACGCGGCAAAUCACAAUCACGUCACUUAAACGUACAAAUGGUAGCAGCUGAGAAACUUGCACAGUGUCCUGAUGAAAUGUUUGACGUUAUUUUAGAUGAAAAUCAAUUAGAUGAAGCUUGUGACCACGUUGCUGAAUAUCUUGAAGCAUACUGGAGAGCAACACAUCCUCCAGUUGUACAAGCCGUACCUCGAGCUAUACCUGCACCUGAUGCACCUGUAGACGCACUAUCACCUCGCGUUACAUCAGGUGGACAUCAUGAUGUUUAUAUGAUAAGAGACUUGGAGGCGGUGGCUGCCACAGGAAUCAUCCGAAAAGAAGGCAAAGUCACCCUAAGUCGGGAAUCCAAUAAGUCCAAACGAAGAGAAUCAAGUUAAGUUUUCCCUACUGUGGUCAUUUCCUUUGAGAGAGGUGUAUGAACUCUCCUUUUUUUUCUCUUUCUUUCUCCCAUACUCAGCAAUUUUUGCGGAUCAAUUGGUCAUCUGACUUGGUUCUGGUCAUAAGAUUAGCUGAGAAAAUAAAGACAGCUCUAGUGGUCCGUUGGUUACCUCGCGUUGUUCCACUCGUCGAUCACGCCUUGAAAGAUUGGAUCGCGAAACCGAGGAGGAAUAUAGCGUAGAGUACAACAAUCGGCGUCGUCAACAGGAUUGAGAUCAACCAAGGCCCCGGGGCCUUAUUCUAGAACUAAAACUACGAACUACAGCCCUUUAGUUCUAUGAUGGUUUUAAUAAUUUUUGGUACUCAUCUUCGUCAAAGAAGUCAGUACUUUCAUGAUGGACAACCUAAAAACAUAAUCAUUGUUGAUAAAUUAUUUAUAUUUGUUAUAAAUUUCAUAGUAAAACGUGGGGAGUAAAUUUGACUCUUUAAAAUAAAUCAACUAUUCAGAAGAGUAUUUUAAAGAUACUCUCAAAAAGAGACAGGAAGAGAAAAAGAGAUAAAUUAUUUUUGUUGAACCUUCUUUUAAUUCCUUAAAAAAGGAGUAAAAUUUAUUCCCUGUUUUACUACAAUAUAAUAUAUUAAGCAUUUACAUGUAAUGUCUUAAUUCAAAAAUUCAAUUUCUCAAAACAAAGUGAAACUUGAGGAAAUUGUUGAUCUAUAUGGUGGUAAUAUAACCCAAGAAUUUUUUUUUACUUUUUUUUUUGAAUGCUCUUUUCAUUGGUGAAUUCUGUUCUUUAAUGUUUUUGAAAUUAUACCUUCAUUUUUUUGCCUGUCAGAAUGUUUUCAGGCCCACGAAAACAAAAGAUUUUGUUCAUAAAUGAUGUUAUCCGACAAAUAUGUUUUUAUUACGUAUGUAGAUAAAAAACAUUAAAAUAGAGGACGAUGACAAACAAAAUUGACUAAAUUUUUCCCUCUAUUAUCCCCAAAUGUGCCAAAAAAGUCAACAACUUUUUUGGUUUUUAUUAACACCAAACAGGACAACAAUUUUCCUAAAGUUUCACUUUGUUUCGAGAAAUUGAAUUUUUGAGUUGAGACAUUACACGUAAACGCUUCAUAUAUUUAUAUAUAUAUAUAUAUAUAUACAUAUUGUCACUAAAAAAUUCCUGAAUUAAAACUUCCAAUACGUGUAUUGGAAUUACAAUACAUAAUUAGUGAUAGUUUAGUAAAAUUGCCUUACCUACAUUAAUAUAAUUUAAUUAAUUUUCAUUUUACUAUAAAUAUAUUGUAAAUUUCGUACAUUUAAAUUACAAGUAUUGUAACGUCUCUCUACAAUACUAAUUGUAAGUAUUGUAGCUUUAAAAUUUCCAAUAUUUUUAGCAAAUGAAUAUGUUUAUAUACCAAUGUUAAAUUGGAACAAAAAAUCAUAACUCUAAGAACCACUUUCACCAGCUUUAAUUAUACUUUAAUUACUUAAUCUCCGAUUAACUCUCUAAAGCAAAAUUCUUUUUAAUUCAAGAAGAACUUUAAAAACGCUUUUGUAAGACUUACAUAUUUAUAAAAUUCUCUUAUUCAGAUUUUAAUCUAAUAUUGUGUAUUCAGUUUCAUAUAACUUUUUUAAAAUUAAAAUUCCUUAAGAAAAUUUCGCUUUUCAGGACAUUUGUUGAACAAACUAAAAAGUAUUCUUGAUUAAGUCACUUUAUCUUAGAUUAAGAUGUUUCUGAAUCCUUUUGAGCAAUAUACAUCAAGAUUCAAAAGUGUCAUAUUUAUCAACUGCAAUGUACUUAUAAAUCGUAUUAAGGAAGAAAAUCAAAAGUUAGUCCGAUUCCAUUUUCUUAUUUUUAAGUCAUAAAGUAAUUAGAUUAGUAAACAAUUUCAUUUUUCCUUUAUUUACCAAAAAUGUAUCUCUUUUUUUUUGUUAAAUAACUAAGACAUUAUUUCUAAAAUACUUGUAUUAGCAUCUUUACAUACACACAUACAGUAUUGAGUUAGCUAAAUUUUUUCUCUGUGUAUUUUAUAAUUUACAUAAAGCAUUUACUAAAAUUUCGUAUAACUUUUCUCUCAGCGUAAUAUUGAUUCAUUCAAGUUUUGAAAUGUUACCGUUGUACAUACGCAAUAUAUGAAACGUUGCCUUAAUAUUGCAAGGUAAUAUUUUCAAAGUUGUGUGUCAAUCUUGCAGCAAAAUACAUAUAUGUUUUAGAGAGAAAUUAUGUGUUAAGUAUAGUUGGUGAAAUUGGGCCUAAAAAUUUUUUUAUAUAGAAGAAAAACAAAAAGAAUUUGAAAUAAUUUCUAGUUAUCUAUUAUUAUUUUCAACUAAAAAGCCUGCACAUUAAUUAUUUAUCCACUUAGAACAUUUUUUUACGCGAAACAUGCAUGAGUAUUGGGUGCAAUGUUUCUCAGCUAAUAUUAAAAAUAUCAAUAUCAGUGCAAUAUUUCCAUUUUUAUGCGAACCUAGCACCACAAUAAUCAGUCAAUUUUUAUGGAAAAAUUUGUGCUAAGUAGAUAAAAUGUAAAAAUUUAUAUAUGUAUAUGUAUAUAAACUUAAUUGCAAAAAUUCCCCUAACUCCCAGCGACAAAUAUUCUACUGCGAUUCCAAAAGUGCGUAUAUAUGCUAAUGAAUCGGUAAAUUUAACUGAAUUUUUUACUGCUUCAUUACUGAAUAAACAUACUUAUUAGAAUUAGUGGUAACUUACUUAUUUAUUGUUGAUUCAGAUUUAGAGAGUGUAUUAUGACUUCCAUGUUGAAGAAUGUAAUUGUUGUUGAUUUACAGAGACAAUCAAAAAAACAUUUUAAAAAACCAGAGCUGAUUUCAGAUCUUGUUUAAUGUUUUUUCGAUUUUCUCUGUGGCACAACAUAUACUUAUAAAGAAGUCAUAUAUGACGUUGACCUUUUACUGUAUAUCUAUUAACAUUCUAAAUUUUAAAUCAGUGAAAUUUCACUAUUAUGAAUUUAGAAUGGAUUUUUUGGAAUAAUACUUUAUAAGUGAGAGGCGAGCCAGAAAAAUCGGUUCUUCGAUCAGCCUUUCAUCAUCAGUACCUAAUAGGUAUAUACUCCUGUGAUUUAUAAAAACAGUGUUAACUGCACAAAAAUAAAAAAGGAGUGUUUUAUAGUGUUUUAAAAAUUAACAAUAAAAUUAGAAAUAAUUUUUGUAUAAUUUGAAAAUUACCUUUAAUUACAAGAUAUAUUUAUGAAAAGUUUAAACAAAUACAAUAUUGAUAUAUUGAAAAAUAAAUAUUUGAAUACAUUUUUUUGUGCAGUUGACGCUGGUUUGUAAAGUUGUGGGUUGAUUAUAUGCAUCAAGCGAUCAAUUGAAAAAUUUCAAAUGAUUGCAAAAUAUUUCUCAAAUAAUCUUUUAAAAGUGGAAGCAACAAAAUAUCAUGCAGUCCCUGGGGUCUUAAUAGAGACUACUUGUACAGGAGUGCAAAUGUAUGAAUGUAUGUGUGUGCGUACCUUCCUGAUUCGCCAAAUAAAAUAUCAUCGAGUUGUUUUAUAUAAAAUAUCGUGUAGAUGAAAUAAUAAAUUAAAUUAACUGAAAUAAAACACUUAAUUCAAUUAUAA